CGCGGCAGCCGUACACAUGCAGUCGAGCGGAACGAUGGAAGCUUGCUUCCAGGCGUCGAGCGGCGGACGGGUGAGUAAUGCAUAGGAAUCUGCCCGAUAGUGGGGGAUAACCUGGGGAAACUCAGGCUAAUACCGCAUACGUCCUACGGGAGAAAGCAGGGGAUCUUCGGACCUUGCGCUAUCGGAUGAGCCUAUGUCGGAUUAGCUAGUUGGUGAGGUAACGGCUCACCAAGGCGACGAUCCGUAGCUGGUCUGAGAGGAUGAUCAGCCACACUGGGACUGAGACACGGCCCAGACUCCUACGGGAGGCAGCAGUGGGGAAUAUUGGACAAUGGGGGAAACCCUGAUCCAGCCAUGCCGCGUGUGUGAAGAAGGCCUUCGGGUUGUAAAGCACUUUCAGCGAGGAAGAAGGCCUGAGGGCUAAUACCCUUCAGGAAGGACAUCACUCGCAGAAGAAGCACCGGCUAACUCCGUGCCAGCAGCCGCGGUAAUACGGAGGGUGCGAGCGUUAAUCGGAAUUACUGGGCGUAAAGCGCGCGUAGGUGGCUUGAUAAGCCGGUUGUGAAAGCCCCGGGCUCAACCUGGGAACGGCAUCCGGAA
rnacentral:rRNA from 1 species